AAUUUCUCAUAAAAGAUCUUGUGGAUAGCACAACAAGCUCCUAUGAGUCAAGAGUACGUAACUCUUUAUCAAUUGCAUCUCAUGCAACUCUCAACUUAACUUUUACCUCUAAAAUACUUAUAGCCUUGUGUAUAGCACAACAAACUAUAGUAUUUUAGUUAAGUCAUACUCUUCAAGCCUAUAUGAUCAUAUCUGAAUAAUACUAUCCUUAUGGAUAGUACAACA
rnacentral:lncRNA from 1 species